UGGGGGAUCUUGCGCUAAUGCGCGAAAGCGUGACGCAGCGACGCCGCGUGGGGGAUGAAGGCCUUCGGGUUGUAAACCCCUUUCGGCAGGGACGAAGGGAAACUGACGGUACCUGCAGAAGAAGUCCCGGCUAACUACGUGCCAGCAGCCGCGGUAACACGUAGGGGACGAGCGUUGUCCGGAUUCAUUGGGCGUAAAGCGCGCGUAGGCGGCUCGGAAAGUCGGGCGUGAAAUGCCGGGGCUCAACCCCGGGACUGCGUCCGAUACUUCCGAGCUGGAGGUAGGUAGGGGAGAUCGGAAUUCCUGGUGUAGCGGUGAAAUGCGCAGAUAUCAGGAGGAACACCGGUGGCGAAGGCGGAUCUCUGGGCCUUACCUGACGCUGAGGCGCGAAAGCUAGGGGAGCGAACAG
rnacentral:rRNA from 1 species